GACGAACGCUGGCGGCGUGCUUAACACAUGCAAGUCGAACGGAAAGGCCCUGCUUUUGUGGGGUGCUCGAGUGGCGAACGGGUGAGUAACACGUGAGUAACCUGCCCUUGACUUUGGGAUAACUUCAGGAAACUGGGGCUAAUACCGGAUAGGAGCUCCUGCUGCAUGGUGGGGGUUGGAAAGUUUCGGCGGUUGGGGAUGGACUCGCGGCUUAUCAGCUUGUUGGUGGGGUAGUGGCUUACCAAGGCUUUGACGGGUAGCCGGCCUGGGAGGGUGAGCGGCCACAUUGGGACUGAGAUACGGCCCAGACUCCUACGGGAGGCAGCAGUGGGGAAUAUUGCACAAUGGGCGGAAGCCUGAUGCAGCAACGCCGCGUGCGGGAUGACGGCCUUCGGGUUGUAAACCGCUUUCGCCUGUGACGAAGCGUGAGUGACGGUAAUGGGUAAAGAAGCACCGGCUAACUACGUG
rnacentral:rRNA from 1 species